UAUCGGAUUGAUACUAAGCCAUGCGAGUCAUUGUAGCAAUACAAGGCAUACGGCUCAGUAACGCGUAGUCAACCUAACCUAUGGACGGGAAUAACCUCGGGAAACUGAGAAUAAUGCCCGAUAGAACAUUAUGCCUGGAAUGGUUUAUGUUCCAAAUGAUUUAUCGCCGUAGGAUGGGACUGCGGCCUAUCAGUUUGUUGGUGAGGUAAUGGCCCACCAAGACUAUUACAGGUACGGGCUCUGAGAGGAGUAGCCCGGAGAUGGGUACUGAGACACGGACCCAGGCCCUAUGGGGCGCAGCAGGCGAGAAAACUUUGCAAUGUGCGAAAGCACGACAAGGUUAAUCCGAGUGGUUUCUGCUAAAGGAACCUUUUGUCAGUCCUAGAAACACUGAUGAAUAAGGGGUGGGCAAGUUCUGGUGUCAGCCGCCGCGGUAAAACCAGCACCUCAAGUGGUCAGGAUGAUUAUUGGGCCUAAAGCAUCCGUAGCCGGCUCUGUAAGUUUUCGGUUAAAUCUGUACGCUCAACGUACAGGCUGCCGGGAAUACUGCAAAGCUAGGGAGUGGGAGAGGUAGACGGUACUCGGUAGGAAGGGGUAAAAUCCUUUGAUCUAUUGAUGACCACCUGUGGCGAAGGCGGUCUACUAGAACACGUCCGACGGUGAGGGAUGAAAGCUGGGGGAGCAAACCGGAUUAGAUACCCGGGUAGUCCCAGCUGUAAACCAUGCAAACUCAGUGAUGCAUUGGCUUGUGGCCAAUGCAGUGCUGCAGGGAAGCCGUUAAGUUUGCCGCCUGGGAAGUACGUACGCAAGUAUGAAACUUAAAGGAAUUGGCGGGGGAGCACCACAAGGGGUGAAGCCUGCGGUUCAAUUGGAUUC
rnacentral:rRNA from 1 species